rnacentral:rRNA from 1 species
GACGAACGCUGGCGGCGUGCUUAACACAUGCAAGUCGAGCGAGGAAAUUGCUUCGGUAAUUUCCUAGCGGCGGACGGGUGAGUAACACGUGGGCAACCUGCCUGAUAGAGGGGGAUAGCCUCCCGAAAGGGAGAUUAAUACCGCAUAAAGUCAAAUGAAGGCAUCUUCAAAUGACCAAAGGAGUAAUCCGCUAUCAGAUGGGCCCGCGGCGCAUUAGCUAGUUGGUGAGGUAACGGCUCACCAAGGCGACGAUGCGUAGCCGACCUGAGAGGGUGAUCGGCCACAUUGGGACUGAGACACGGCCCAGACUCCUACGGGUGGCUG